CCUACGGGGGGCAGCAGUGAGGAAUAUUGGUCAAUGGCCGGAAGGCUGAACCAGCCAAGUCGCGUGAAGGAAGAAGGAUCUAUGGUUUGUAAACUUCUUUUAUAGGGGAAUAAAGGUAUCCACGUGUGGAUAUUUGCAUGUACCUUAUGAAUAAGCAUCGGCUAAUUCCGUGCAAGCAGCCGCGGUAAUACGGAGGAUGCGAGCGUUAUCCGGAUUUAUUGGGUUUAAGGGGUGCGUAGGUUGGUUGUUAAGUCAGCGGUGAAAGUUUGUGGCUCAACCGUAAAAUUGCCGUUGAUACUGGAAGGCUUGAGUGUGGUUGAGGUGGGAGGAAUGCGUGGUGUAGCGGUGAAAUGCAUAGAUAUCACGCAGAACACCGAUUGCGAAGGCAGCUUACUAAGCCAUGACUGACACUGAGGCACGAAAGCGUGGGGAUCAAACAGGAUUAGAUACCCCUGUAGUC
rnacentral:rRNA from 1 species